rfam:Cicer arietinum chromosome Ca3, whole genome shotgun sequence.
CGUGUUCACAAUGAGGAUACAAAGCUCCCUCUUCUGAUUUGAAUUGAGGAAAAUUGCAGGCAGAAUCGAACCUAAAUAAAUCUAGCCACCACUGAGUGA